rnacentral:lncRNA from 1 species
GAAUCCAGCCAUCAUCUGAGGAAGCAGUUCAUGUCGCAGCAAAGGAAGUUCUGUUCUCACCACAGCCCCUAUCUUCUGGAAGCAGCUGUCGUAAUUGAAAGGGUGCAUUUCUCACCUGCACUGUGGUCCAGGAAACUCAAGUCACCGUCCCCACCAUGUUCUUCCUGACUUCGAAGCAGUCUGGUGACCCCAGGCAGGAACUGACUAGCAUGAGAGUCUUGAUGCAGGAGAAUUUUUGAAGAAAUUCAGAAGCAGAACCGAAAGGAGGAGAGAAGGUGGAGGUGGGAAAGCUGACAGCUGGAGACUGGGGAGGGCCCUUUGAGGCCUGGGAGAGAAUAUGUGGAUGGUGGGGAGACCUUUCCCAGCAUUUUGGUAAAGGCUCCGUCAGUGCCCUGUCCUCGUGUUGGGGUCCCCCUCUCACAAAGUAUCUUUUCCACCUUUAGCCACCUCCACCCUGUCCACUAACCUUCAGUGGGAACAGCAGAUGCAACUGGCGGGGCUGAAGGUCAGUGGGAACUCCAGGGCCCCAGAGAAGGCCUGCACCACACUGAGCAGGAUCCAGGAGAGUGGAGAAGGGAGGUCGAGGUCCCUGUUAGAGGAGGGUGUGAAGGGGUCAAGAUGAAGGAGCAGCAGGACCUGAGGCCCUCCCUCUGCACACAGACUUUCUCUGGAAACAGCAGGCAGUGAGAUGGAGUGAGAACUGGAAUAAGGCAAGGAAUAUUGCUGAGAUGGUUCUCAAAUCAAUGGAGAGAGAUGUCCGUGGAUGAAUCACAAAGGGAGGGAAUGGGUGCAAAGGCCUCACUGAGAUCCAAUGACAGCAGAAGCUGCCAGGAUCUGACGUAAACCAGUUUGGUUGAAGUGUUGGGGGAGGCUAUAUGACCACAUUUUGUUUCUAUUGGCACAAUUCCAUACAUGGAAAAUGUCAUGAGACUCAAAAAUGGGUUCAGCAGAAGCUCAAAAAUAUGCUACAAAAUUCAGGAAGAAGCUAAAAUAUUAUCAGAUUAUUUUAUAAAGGACACAACUAGUCAGGAACCUUUUGAAAACACCAGCAUGCAUCAUCCAAAGAAGUAGAAUCCAAUUAAAAAAAAAAAAAAGACUGGGAGGAGUACAUCACAAAGGAGGGUGAGAUUUGGGAAGACAGUUACUCUAAGACCCUGUGAGCAAACUGCACCUGAUUCCAGAAAGACAGUUGGAGUCGAGGAGAGAAUGAAGCAACUUUACUGGCUGGGUUGAAGCCUACCCUAUCAGAACGGAAUAAGGCUAAUGCGGUUAUCAAGGUUCUCUUGAAGGAAAUAAUCCCCUGGUUUGGGUUGCCCCAAAGCCUCCAAAGUGAUAAUCGCUUGUCUUCUGCCUCCCAAAUAACUCAAAGGGUUGCUAAGGCUCUCAGAAUUAAAUACUAUUUACACUCAGCAUGGAGGCCUCAAUCCUCAGGGAAAGUAGAAAGGGCUAAUCAAACUCUAAAACUGGCAUUAGCUAAGCUAUGUCAGGAAACAUCAGAAACUUGGAUCAACUUACUGCCCAUAGCCCUCUUAAGAAACCAUUAUUCUCCAAGAGCAAAAAUUAAUAUAAGCCCAUAUAAAAUGUUAUAUGGGAGGCCAUUUUAACUAAUGAUCUAAUUACUGAUCCAGAAACGGCUGAGUUAAUAAAAUACCUAGUUAACCUAGGACAGUUUCAGCAGGUCUCGCAAGAGUUUGGAACUCAAAGGCUCCCCGCACCAGGAACUAACCAGCAAACCAAGGUCAGGCCAGGAGAUAAGGUUUAAGCCUGCAACAUCUGAAGCCCUGGACCUGGAACCGGAGACUCCCACCAGCCACUAUACCUGUGAACCCGUAGAAGACCUGAACUACCUAUUUAAAAGACAGUCAAAAGAUAAGUAAAUGCCUACCAAUUUUCCCUGGUGUAAAAUGUUAACUGAUUUUUGCUCUCUCACUUACAGAUGUUUGUAUAAGGGUUUCAGCCAAUUUUGGAACAAAAUUCAAAAUCAGGCCAAAAUACUUACCUGUUGUGACUAGAUCAAGCCAGCUGUACCUUUUAUAACCACGUACAAGGCUUGCCGCAACCCAUGGAUACCCACCUAAAUACUUAGGAAUAGAGAGCCAUGAUCCUCAGUAGGCAGGGACAAUGCCCAUGACCAGUAGAAAGUAGCUACAGAAAACUGAUCUUCAGCCCUUUUGCCUCCCAUAAAGAUUUAUGGGGAUCAUAUCUCUCAGAGGGAAAUGAGGCAGGAGAAUAGGGAAUUAGGGUAACCAGGGUUUCAGCUGGUGCAGCCAGUGCCGCAGGGGUGGAAGAACAGCAGGUGCAGCCAGUUCAAAUGAGCAGAAGAACAGCAGGUGCAGCAUAUAGGCCACAUCCUUGCUCCCAUGAUAACAAGCCACUUCAGCCUCCGAUUGGUCUCAGGCCAAUCCUUUAUGAGGUGUGGUCAAUUGGAGGCCUCUGAAGGGCACUGAGAGGUGUUGCCGGGUUUUUUCUUUAAUAAAAACCGUAAUUGAGGGGGCUCUUGAGCAGCCGCUUGCUCAAGCCCAAUCCCACUCUGAAUUUUCUUCAAUAAAUCUGUGCCCACACUGGCAUUUUGUUCAGUUCCUUGCCCAAUACACCAAGAACAGCAGGUGCAGCAUACAGGCCACAUCCUGGCUGGACAACUCACAUUUAGGACACUCUCUCCGGCAACAGGUGACAUCAUCCUCUUAGCCUGUCAAAAUGUUGGUAUUACAGGCAUGAGCUGCCCUGCCUGGCCUAUAACUUUUUUUGCUGAAAAAUAUUCCCUUGUAUGCAGGUAUUACAUUUAGCCAUUCAUCAGCUGGUGGACAUUUGAACUGUUUCCACUUUUGUUUACUAUGAAUAAAGCUGCUAUGAACACCUGUGUAAAGUUUUGCAUAGACAUGUUUUCAUUUCUGUAUAUAUAUCUAA